CUACGGGUUGCUCCAGUGAGGAAUAUUGCACAAUGGGGGGAACUCUGAUGCAGCAACGCCGCGUGGAGGAUGACGCAUUUCGGUGUGUAAACUCCUUUUAUAUGUCAAGAAAAUGACGGUAGCAUAUGAAUAAGCACCGGCUAACUCCGUGCCAGCAGCCGCGGUAAUACGGAGGGUGCAAGCGUUACUCGGAAUCACUGGGCGUAAAGGACGCGUAGGCGGGUUGGAAAGUCAGGUGUGAAAUCCUACAGCUUAACUGUAGAACUGCACUUGAAACUUCUAAUCUAGAGUAUGGGAGGGGGAGAUGGAAUUAGUGGUGUAGGGGUAAAGUCCGUAGAUAUCACUAGGAAUACCUAAAGCGAAGGCGAUCUCCUGGAACAUUACUGACGCUAAGGCGUGAAAGCGUGGGGAGCAAACAGGAUUAGAUACCCUCGUAGUC
rnacentral:rRNA from 1 species